UACGAAGGGGGCUAGCGUUGCUCGGAAUUACCGGGCGUAAAGCGCACGUAGGCGGAUUGUUAAGUCGGGGGUGAAAUCCUGGAGCUCAACUCCAGAACUGCCUUCGAUACUGGCGAUCUCGAGUUCGGGAGAGGUGAGUGGAACUGCGAGUGUAGAGGUGAAAUUCGUAGAUAUUCGCAAGAACACCAGUGGCGAAGGCGGCUCACUGGCCCGAUACUGACGCUGAGGUGCGAAAGCGUGGGGAGCAAACAGG
rnacentral:rRNA from 1 species